rnacentral:rRNA from 1 species
GUGGGGAAUCUUCCGCAAUGGACGAAAGUCUGACGGAGCGACGCCGCGUGAGUGAAGAAGGCCUUCGGGUCGUAAAGCUCUGUCAUCAGGGACGAACGGCCGGUGGAGUGGAAAGCCACCGGAUUGACGGUACCUGAGAAGGAAGCCACGGCUAACUACGUGCCAGCAGCCGCGGUAAUACGUAGGUGGCAAGCGUUGUCCGGAAUUAUUGGGCGUAAAGCGCGCGCAGGUGGGAUCUUAAGUCCAUUUUGAAAGUUCGGAGCUCAACUCCGUGAUGGGAUGGAAACUGGGAUUCUUGAGUACCGGAGAGGAAAGCGGAAUUCCCCGUGUAGCGGUGAAAUGCGUAGAUAUGGGGAGGAACACCAGUGGCGAAGGCGGCUUGCUGGACGACAACUGACGCUGAGGCGCGAAAGCGUGGGGAGCAAACAGGAUUAGAUACCCGGGUAGUCC